UCGAUUUUCUGGCAGCUGUUUUCGAUGUGAAUAAUCUCAACUAGGCAAAAAAAAAAACAAAUACCUUGAAAAAGCUGUGUGAUAAACCUCGAUCCCACCCGCGACAGGAAAUGCAGCCGCAAGGAUAAAGAAAUUCGAAAACAUUUUGACCAACAAAGUAAUGGGACAUCUCUGGCGAGUGCAAUUUCGACUGUCGGAACCGCUGCAACGGCAACCUUCAACAGCAGCAGCAGUAUCUAACAAUUUAACUACGGGAACUGGAACAUAAGAGGCAAUCAGUGUUUUCGCAAUGGAUUCUGCUGGUCGCUUUUAUAAGCGAUUCCAACCGUAACAACGGUGGCGGACUCAAAGAAUCGCUGCUUGCGUUAUGGCACUUUCGGAAAUAGUGGAAAUAGUUAUAGUGUUCUGCUGCAAUAAACCAGCCAGCUUCGGUAAUUACAAAGACUUAAAUAAAUGUUUUUACGAAUAGUUUAUUUCAUUAAA